AUUGAACGCUGGCGGCAUGCUUUACACAUGCAAGUCGAACGGCAGCACGGGGGCAACCCUGGUGGCGAGUGGCGAACGGGUGAGUAAUAUAUCGGAACGUACCCGGAAAUGGGGGAUAACGUAGCGAAAGUUACGCUAAUACCGCAUAUGCCCUAAGGGGGAAAGCGGGGGAUUCGCAAGAACCUCGCGUUUUCGGAGCGGCCGAUAUCGGAUUAGCUAGUAGGUGAGGUAAAGGCUCACCUAGGCGACGAUCCGUAGCUGGUCUGAGAGGACGACCAGCCACACUGGAACUGAGACACGGUCCAGACUCCUACGGGAGGCAGCAGUGGGGAAUUUUGGUACAAUGGCGCAAGCCUGAUCCAGCCACUGCCGCGUGAGUGAAGAA
rnacentral:rRNA from 1 species